rnacentral:lncRNA from 1 species
GCCUCUGACACUUACUAGCUGUGUGCGCCUGGGCAAAUUGCUUAACCUGUCUGCCUCAAUUUCCUCAUGUGUAAUUUGGGAAUAAUCAAAGCACAUACUGGAGUCCUGUUGUGAGGAUCAAAGGAGUAGAUUAAGUCCCUCAAAAGCACAAUCUGGGCCAACUUGGCAUAAUUUAGAGAAUCUUGGCUCUAUAAUUGGAGGACUUGUAUUCAAAUCCUGGUCCUGUCACCUACUACACAUCAUGGAGCUUUGGACUCUCUUCGCCAGUUCUUUUCUUCCCCGAUGGAUCUGGGGCCCCUAUUUGGGCUCACAGUGAAGAGUGAGCUUGCUGGGAAGAGGAGAGACAGCAUGCAAACUCCAGCUGGCGAACUGUUUACGGUCUUCUGGUCCAUGCCAACAGGAGUUGGGAAGGUGACAUAUUUGGGGCUCUUUCCACUGACUUCUUUGCCAUUUAGAAAUGCAGAAUUAUUGGGAUUUUAAAGGAGGACACAAUGUGUUUAGAUUUUUUCUUUUGGAUCCAGAGUUGUGAGUUCAUUAGUUUGGGAGGCAUAGUGAAGAAACUGUUCACCACCAAUCCAGAGGAGCAAUUCUGCUUGAACCCAGGCCACCUUACCCUUGAGUCCAGCUCUCUAUUCACUAGACCUGCUGCCUCUUGAUCAAGUUAUGCUUUUGCAAAGGCCGUUUGCUUCUGUCAUUUUAUUUUACCUUUGCAUGGCCCCAGGAGGCAGCUGGGUGCUGCUGCAACAGACAGAGCCCUGGACCUGGAGUCAAGAAGACAGUCUCAGACACUUACCAGCUGUGUGACCCUGGCCGAGUGGUUGGCCUUGGUUUUCUCAACUGUAAAAUAGGCACAAUGAACAAACAGCUGUUGUAAAGAUUAGAUGAGAGAGUAUUUGUCAGGCACUUAGAAGAGUAGCUCCAUAAAUGAUUAUUCCUUUUCUCGUUCCCAUGAGGUAGGAAGAGAAAAUAAAAUAAGAGUAUUCAAUGUGUCA